rnacentral:rRNA from 1 species
UACAGAGGGGGCAAGCGUUAUUCGGAAUUAUUGGGCGUAAAGGGCGCGUAGGCGGCUUGGCAAGUGGAUGGUGAAAUCCCUCGGCUUAACCGAGGAACUGCCGUCCAAACUGCUUUGCUUGAGACCGGGAGAGGUGAGUGGAAUUCCCAGUGUAGCGGUGAAAUGCGUAGAUAUUCGGAGGAACACCAGUGGCGAAGGCGGCUCACUGGUCCAUUACUGACGCUGAGGUGCGAAAGCGUGGGGAGCAAACAGGG